GGCCUCAUGGCCCAAUGGCAAGACGCUUGACUACGACUUCAAAUUCGAAAGCAAGAGAUUGCAGGUUCGAUCCCUACUGUGGUCA